UUAUGACUAUUCCAUGAAAUAUUUGUUGUUAAGACUAUGUGAAAUGGAAAGAAUAUAAAAAAAUGGACAUAGACAAACAGUAAAUUAAUUUUUUAAGAUUAAAUUCUGUUGGUUUGGGUACAAAGUGCAUUAACAAAAUGUUGAGAAAACAGCAAGUUUUUCUGUUGGAUGUUGGGAAAGGGAAUUUUCGACACAGACCUGUCUUUACAAAGUCCAAAACUACUUUAGCGUAAGGGCUGGAAGAACUGUCAAUUGAAGAAUGUCAAAAUUGUCGGAGAUAAAAAAAAGAAAACAGAAGACGGAUGGUGACGUCUCUUACUAAAAGAUACAACACAGAAGAAUAUUGUUGAGUCUGGACCUUACCCCAACAAGGAUGGUGAAGGAGUCUUGUCCUGUCCUAUUUUCCAAUUGUUGACUCUCUAAAAAGAACAUCCCAAUGAAGAAGAACAUAUCUAAAAAGUUACAUGUCAGCAGUUUUCAGCUGCAAUGUUGGUGGAAGAAUAACACUGGACAGAUCAAGCUGAAUUAUUCACAUCCAAAACAUCAAACAAAGAAAAAGUGAAUCAUAUUGUUGGAAAAUGUUUAGUGACUGUAUUCUAGGAUCAUGGACCGGAGAGGAUCGCCGCCGCCACUACAAGAUCGUCGCUUCAAGAUAGGACCCUGGCCCACGGGUCGAAGACUGGAGAGGAUGGCCGCCGCCACCGCCGCCGUCACCACUGGAGCCGCUUCAAGAUCGCCGCACGCUAGGACCUUCGCCAAUGGAUGUCAGGUAUAUUGUUUUCUUCUAAGUGUCUAACCAUACUUUUUUUAUGUACUCUAGAUGGGACCCAGGACCAAGGAGGAUCGCCGCCGCCACUACAAGAUCGUCGCUUCAAGAUAGGACCCUGGCCCACUGGUCGAAGACUAGAGAGGAUCGCCGCCGUAACCACUGGAGCCGCUUCAAGAUCGCCGCACGCUAGGACCUUCGCCAAUGGAUGUCAGGUAUAUUGUUUUCUUCUAAGUGUCUAACCAUACUUUUUUUAUGUACUCUAGAUGGGACCCAGGACCAAGGAGGAUCGCCGCCGCCACUACAAGAUCGUCGCUUCAAGAUAGGACCCUGGCCCACUGGUCGAAGACUAGAGAGGAUCGCCGCCGUAACCACUGGAGCCGCUUCAAGAUCGCCGCACGCUAGGACCUUCGCCAAUGGAUGUCAGGUAUAUUGUUUUCUUCUAAGUGUCUAACCAUACUUUUUUUAUGUACUCUAGAUGGGACCCAGGACCAAGGAGGAUCGCCGCCGCCACUACAAGAUCGUCGCUUCAAGAUAGGACCCUGGCCCACGGGUCGAAGACUGGAGAGGAUCGCCGCCGCCACCGCCGCCGUAACCACUGGAGCCGCUUCAAGAUCGCCGCACGCUAGGACCUUCGCCAAUGGAUGUCAGGUAUAUUGUUUUCUUCUAAGUGUCUAACCAUACUUUUUUUAUGUACUCUAGAUGGGACCCAGGACCAAGGAGGAUCGCCGCCGCCACUACAAGAUCGUCGCUUCAAGAUAGGACCCUGGCCCACGGGUCGAAGACUGGAGAGGAUCGCCGCCGCCACCGCCGCCGUCACCACUGGAGCCGCUUCAAGAUCGCCGCACGCUAGGACCUUCGCCAAUGGAUGUCAGGUAUAUUGUUUUCUUCUAAGUGUCUAACCAUACUUUUUUUAUGUACUCUAGAUGGGACCCAGGACCAAGGAGGAUCGCCGCCGCCACUACAAGAUCGUCGCUUCAAGAUAGGACCCUGGCCCACGGGUCGAAGGUAGAUUUCAAUUGAUUUUAAAUGCUGAAACUUCUUUUAUUAAUGUUUUUGGAUUUUCUUUAGACUAGAGAGGAUCGCCGCCGCCACCGCCGCCGUAACCACUGGAGCCGCUUCAAGAUCGCCGCACGCUAGGACCUUCGCCAAUGGAUGUCAGGUAUAUUGUUUUCUUCUAAGUGUCUAACCAUACUUUUUUUAUGUACUCUAGAUGGGACCCAGGACCAAGGAGGAUCGCCGCCGCCACUACAAGAUCGUCGCUUCAAGAUAGGACCCUGGCCCACGGGUCGAAGACUGGAGAGGAUCGCCGCCACCACCGCCGCCGUCACCACUGGAGCCGCUUCAAGAUCGCCGCACGCUAGGACCUUCGCCAAUGGAUGUCAGGUAUAUUGUUUUCUUCUAAGUGUCUAACCAUACUUUUUUUAUGUACUCUAGAUGGGACCCAGGACCAAGGAGGAUCGCCGCCGCCACUACAAGAUCGUCGCUUCAAGAUAGGACCCUGGCCCACGGGUCGAAGACUAGAGAGGAUCGCCGCCGCCACCGCCGCCGUAACCACUGGAGCCGCUUCAAGAUCGCCGCACGCUAGGACCUUCGCCAAUGGAUGUCAGGUAUAUUGUUUUCUUCUAAGUGUCUAACCAUACUUUUUUUAUGUACUCUAGAUGGGACCCAGGACCAAGGAGGAUCGCCGCCGCCACUACAAGAUCGUCGCUUCAAGAUAGGACCCUGGCCCACGGGUCGAAGACUGGAGAGGAUCGCCGCCGCCACCGCCGCCGUCACCACUGGAGCCGCUUCAAGAUCGCCGCACGCUAGGACCUUCGCCAAUGGAUCUCAGGUAUAUUGUUUUCUUCUAAGUGUCUAACCAUACUUUUUUUAUGUACUCUAGAUGGGACCCAGGACCAAGGAGGAUCGCCGCCGCCACUACAAGAUCGUCUCCGCCGCAGCAAAGGACUUCGAAGAUCUUUAAAUGGUAACAAACCAGCCUUCACAUUCAAAUUGUCCUCAAUGCUCAAGAGGAAAAUAUACAAAGAGCUUGUGGGCUACAGGCUGAAGAAGAAAUGCAAGAUUGGGGUUACAACAUUUUCCGAUAUUGAAAAAUUUGCAAUCACUACUACAAUGAUUUAAGAGGAUUAAUUGCAACAGAAUCCAAACCGAGUAACAAAAAAAUUAUUGAAGAAAAUCCAGAACAAGUCAUCUCUGUUGAAAGUUAAAUCAAGCUUCCGCAAUGAAGUGCAGCUCAUGGAUUAGGGUGUGUUGACUGUUGACUCCACACAAUUCUAUAAAACCAGGAAAGAAAGAUCUCAUUCUCAUGCAGUGGCAAUAGUUGAAGAAAAGUUGUCCCAAAAUCAAGAAUUGACACAGAACUUGACACUUGUAACUUCAAGCAACCCUUGAACUUGUGUAACUUAAAGUUUGAAAAGGAUUUGAAUAGAGAAAACUCUCAAAACAUUUGAGAAAGAGCUGAAACACGGAAUUCCAAUGGGUCAAAACUGGAGAGUUCUCAUUCAUUGGCGCCUACCACAUCUUAUUGGUCUCGGUCUACAACGGAAGAAGAAAAUGCAACCGAUGUAGGGCGUUGAUAAAGUUGCACUAAUCCCCUGACUGCAGAAGAAGAGAGAACCAGGUCUUCUUUUAAUGGCUUCACCCGAUGGCUUUCACGUGACACGAGUCUUCACAUAUUGCUGAAUUCGAUUGACGACUCGUUUUCAUAAAAAAAGGACAACUACGCAAGCGGACCUCAGGCGAGAGACGAUUUUGAAAAUGGUUUAUCCCGACUGCUAGUUCAGCAGACGAAUCUAGGUUUAGAACUUGAUAACAUUACUGAACAGUCAAAGCCUUCCAUCAAUUCCUGCUGAAAAAUGAAACUUCGUUCUCGGCCUACGUUAGAAGAGUCUUUGAUGGUCGACCAUCCGUGCAACUAGAACACGCCCGAAGAAAAAUUACCGACUUCGACGAAUCUUUAUACGCUCACGUGUUCACUGAAGAAGUUGAUCGUUUUAUCGUGACACGUGAUCGGCAGGCAGUGCUAUUGCAGAAGAUUUUGCACUUGACGUCAUCCCCGAAUUUGUUUUCAAAAAUGCUUAUUUGGAAAUGGGUAAUUCUCUGGUGGUCCUUCAGCGAAAAUCGAUAAUUUGGCAGCCAUCGUCACUUCUGCCCCAAUUACAAGAACCCAUCCUUGCCGAUUUGUUUGAAUUACAGAAGAAAAAUCGAACGUUGGCUGAGGCUCGGUCUGUUCUAAUUUCUGCCAUAACACGUCUUCCCUCGUGAUACCAAGCCACUAAUCACAAGCAAAGUGGGCAAUCAUUCAGAUUCACACUCACAUUUCCUAAACUGAAAUUAGAAACGAAACGAAACGUUAAUCAGUAAUACGCAAGACUUCCGCGUCUUUGGGUGCUGUACAAGAAGGUCGGCGGUGCGGGGACCAUCAAGCAUGGUUAGACAGUCAAAAUCAAAUCAAAUGCCUUAGAUACAUCAGGGGAGGUCCUACGUGACGAUCUUUGAAACGAAGAUCUUGAAGAGACGAUCUUGAAGUGAGAAGAAGUUGUACAAGGAAGGUCAGCCAAUCGGAAGUUGAAACGCCCAACAAAGUUGGGUGUGACUGCAAAGUGGAGUGGGUGAUCCCGUACACUGAUUUGGCUUUUUUUUGUUUACCUGUUUAAUUACCAUUGCCAACCUGUCGAGGAUGUUUACACCAGUUUACGCAACACGCUUAUGGGUGACAACCAACAUCUCUUUUAUGAGAGAACGAAAAACGAGGUGGGAGCAAGAGUGGACUGGUUAGUCUAUAUAAACCCCGUUUGGCUGUGGACGGGUCCAUCGAGUGUUCAACUCAAGAACGAAUUCCACCGACAUAUUUCGGCGUAACAAGUAUUUUGUACAGGUAUUUUGUACAGACAUUUUGGCGUAACAGUCGUUUGUUACUCUUCACUCAUCAACCACGAAAGAUUGCAGUUAAUUAAACAAAGACAGAGUUUGUUUCGCCAUAACAAAGAGUCUAGGGAAAGCCCCGGACAAACCCGUUCUUGUUAUAAGAACACGAAGCAUUUAAGGAAAUGUUUGCUUCAGCCAUAAUAUUUGCAGCUGCUGUCCCACUGGUAUUGGCAAACAACGCGCCAACCUAUUCUAGUGAUGUCUCCAGUACGGCCGACAAUUCGUGUGAGAAUUAUCCUCCGCUUAGUGGUGCAAAAGUUCCACAAAAUGGAAAAGCGUCUAAUUCUUCUUAUCCUGAUGAUGGCUGUGGAGACUAUUCUGUCCGAUUUAAGGGCGAUGGAUACUGUUAUUCACUUCUGAAGAAAGGACCUUGUGAGAAUGUGUUAUUUUGGAUUACGGUCGACCCGUAUACUUACGAGGGAAUAUGCACUCCUCGCCUUUGUGGCAGAGAAAAAGUGUUCGUCGGUCGAGAUGGUCUUUGUCACGAUGUUUACGAUACUAAAGAGUGUCGCGGAGGUAGGCGUCUUUAUUACUCGGCUUACGGAGAUCCAAUUUGUGAUUGUCCUAUUGGGCAAUAUCCAUUCCCAUCGGAAGAAGACGAUUGCGUUCCUUUAUUUACUCAAGGGCCGUGUCCAACCAAUCAGGUUGUAUCCGUUAGUUCAUCUGGUAAAUUAGAGUGUUUCCCCAACACUUGUCAACUUGUUGAUAGAUAUCAGGACUGCCUCCUGCAAUUGGUCCCAGUUAAACAAUCAAGAAUAAGUAACGAUGACAACGGCGAUGAAUAUGGAUACUGCUAUGGGUUAGGCACUCGUGGACCUUGCUCACCUUCUGAACUUUUUGGUUACAACAUCUUUCACUGUCAGGGAGAGUGUGUU